rnacentral:pre_miRNA from 1 species
UAGCAGCACAUCAUUACUGGUAUUUCUUUUCACUGCAUUACCAGUAUGUUAUGUGCUGCUUCA